CCGAGGAAUUUCUUCCAUUUAUAAAUGAAGCUUUAUUAGCUCUGUGACAGGGGCUUCUGCCACCCUGUCAGACAUGCCUAAGCCUGGCACCAGACUCCCACUGAUGGUUUUCUGGGUGCACAUCUUGAUCCCAGUCCUGACUUUCAACCUACUCUGUAUGGAAGUGAUCAAUGAAAAACAGGUCACACUUUUCCCUGAAAAGUGCUACUUCAAAACAAAAGGUUGGGAAGUUUUUCUUGAAGCUGCAUGGCUGUGCAACACUGGAGAAACCCCAAAGUGAAGUGUUUUAUUUGGAUAAUGUGGGGAAGAAAAGUGGACGGCAAUGCCACACUGGGUGAGGUUGCUGCCACACCACAGGUCUGAGCUCCCAUCUAGCUCUUGGUAGUGCCCACAGGAGAGAAGACUUCAGUCACCUAUGAAAAAGAGUUUCAACAUAUUCUAAGUUUCAGCCACUGUUUUAGUAUGAACUACUGCCAGAAUUCAAUCUAAAUUUGUAACUAGUGUGCAUCCCACCACCAAAAUCUCUUUUAACAUACACUUUUCACCAAAAUAUCACCCAGUUCCUUCCAAACCUUCUGGCCACAAGAAUGACAGACAGUGACUCAACUGAAAUGAGUCUCAAACUCUGUUGCAUUGCAUCCCAAUGAACGUUGCCUCAUCCCCAAGCACUCUGGUCAUUGACAUUUUCCUGAGACACUUCCCACUAGACCUCAGAGUGUGUUGCCAGAGGACUCAGGCAGCCACAGAUGUCAGCUGUCUGAGCUUACGCAUGUAUUUCCAUCCACAAGAGCUUUUGCAAGCUGCAUCGACCUCAAGUACUUCAUAGACACAGUCCCAAAAUUUUAUAGCCUUCAUUGAUUACCUAGUCAUACCCCCACAAUUACAAAUCCCAGGAGAAAUGGCAGCAGUUGUCGUUGACACACCAAAGAGCAGCCAAUUCACAUAGCACAUUCGUAAAAUUAGAAAAUUUAAGUAUUGCAGGACAAGCCAUCCUUUCCUCUAGCCAAAACACUGUGUCCUAAUUCUUCCAGUAGAAAGCCACGUUCUGUGGCAAUGAUCUGAGUUUAAAUGUCUCCAUUUCCACUCAUUUAUACCUAGCCAGCUGUGAAUCAAGUAGUUAGAUCCUAUUUAUUCCCCCAUGUCUCCAAGUAUUUUUAUUAAGUAAUUCUGGCCAAGAAAAGAAUCUGGUUUUGCGUGUUUAUAUUUUUGCUACUCUCAGCUCUGCCCGCUCUUUUCAAUGUGAUUUACCACUGACA